rnacentral:rRNA from 1 species
CAAUAGCGUAUAUUAAAGUUGUUGCAGUUAAAAAGCUCGUAGUUGGAUUUCUGUGAGAGUGCCGGUGUCGGCUGAUGCUUGUACGCAGGCGCUCUUACAUCCUUCUGUUAACUGUUCUUGGCAUUUUAUUGCUGGUUCAGGGCUCAGAUAUUUUACCUUGAGAAAAUUAGAGUGUUUCAGGCAGGCUUAUGCCGGAAUACAUUAGCAUGGAAUAAUGGAACAGGACCUGUGCGUCUCUCGGGGCGCCGGUCUCCGUUAUUGGUUUCGGGGACUAAUGUAAUGAUUAAUAGGGAUAGUCGGGGGCAUUAGUAUUUAAUAGUCAGAGGUGAAAUUCUCGGAUUUGUUAAAGACUAACUUAUGCGAAAGCAUUUGCCAAGGAUGUUUNCAUUAA